rnacentral:lncRNA from 1 species
CGUUAUAAGCUUUUCUUUUUUGUUUCUUUUUUAGAAUUGUAGCUUAUCAGUUUAUCUAUGCCUGCUAUAGUCAUAAUUACAAUUUAAUAUCUGCAUACAAAAGCUAUGUAAAAAUCCAUUUUUCCCAAAUAUACAAAUUUUCUUUUUGGAUAGUUUAAAACAUUUUGAUCACAGAUUUCAAUAGAAUUUUAGGCUGAAAAAAAUAUUACCAAUCUAGCAAUAUCACUUAACACCAUUUGCAAAACACAAAUCUUCCGAUGACUGUAAAUCUUUCCCUGUUCUAUUGUCCUUUUCUGAUUCUCAGGGCAUGAAAACAUCAUGGGGGAAUAAAGGUGUUUUCUCCAAAGAAAGCUUUCAUAACUAAUUUGGCUCUAAAAUCAAAUGAAAAAUGCCAAAUAGGAAGAACCAAAAGAGGGGAGUGGCAUAAUGUCUGCUCGUUCAUGCCCUGCUAGCG